CAUACAUACAUACAUAUAUGAAUUUUACAAUGACAAAUACAUAGAGAAACAUGCUGUCGAAACAAAGAAGAAAACUGGUCUAGAUCAUCUCUGGACGGGACAAGUAUAGAGAUAAACACUAAUUUCUUUGGUAAUUAUCCACCCAGAAAUCUUCUAAUCUUCUAGUUUUUGUGCGCGCAGCUGGAGCGUGCAAUUUAUGAAAAUCAGCAGGCUGGAAAGUAGAGAGUUCUCGAUCGCUCUGUUCGAUCGUCUCCAGAAGCGUGAUGUUUUCUUUAUGUUAAUUAGCUAUGGAAUAAUUUUCUAUCAGCAUAACUUACUCGGGUUAUAGACUGAGUUGCUCAAUUUAUGUUGGAUUUGGUAAUUGAACAAAUUUUGAAUAUGUUCACUAUGGAGUGAACAAAGGGUUUAGGGCUAUUUAAGACUUGGUUAAUUUUCUAUCUAUUUUAUAAGUUUCUAUAGAUCUUAUAGGAGAUUUGCUACUUGAUGUGUUUUUAGUGUUUUUAUGGCUAAUGCUCGGUAAAAACUUUUAGGCCACGAAAUAAGACAAAAUCUUGUAACACUUACACAAAGAAUAAGCAUGUGCGGGAUAUAUAUGCAUGUAGGGGCUCCCUUUUUGUGUAAGUGGUGCCAUAUAAGAAUGCUCGUAUACAAUGUUUUAUGAUGAAGUCCAACGACUUCACUGAGAUUAACUAUGUUUGUUUCGCAAGAUAUAGAAACUUAAUCCAACAAGGAAUUAGCGGGUUUACUAUAAUCUUGGAGUCCUUACAAUCUAAGGACUGACGUGCGCCGUAAGUAAUUAUCACACUCCUAAGAGGAUGCAAUGUCUACUUACUAGAUAUCAUUUGGGAUUCUCCUAGUUUAAUGAGUAGUAUAAAUACACCCUUCUAGGUUCUUUGGUAAUGCAAUUAUCACAUAUUUAUUCUCUUUGUCCACUGCUUGAGUCUUAAUAUUGCUUACUAACUUGACAGUCAAAGAGUCUUUGACCAGCACGCCCACUCCGACAGUGCGCAAAUUUGUUUCCAACAUAGGGUUUGUAUCUAGGGAUUUCUCUCUAAGUCUCUGAUGAUCCAUCUUCUCUAAUAUUAUCUAUGAGAAGAUUCUCUCUGAUCAUCUUUCUAACAACAUAUUCUCGUCUGCACAUUGUUCGGAUGGUUCAUGAUGUUAUACAUAUCACACCACUUCUUUCUUAGAACUACACCAGUGACUUGAUUUUCCUUCCCAGAAAUAUGUAAGUAGUUCGGUCAUGGAUUCAAUCACACCUCCACCCACUAAUCAACCCCAUUCUACCCUCGUUGGAGAUCAUAGAUAAUUCUGACUGAAUUAUGUCUCUAUUCGUAAAUGUGUGCAAUUUUGAUUCCAACAGUUAGCAUGGUGAUCAAGUAUGUCGAUGACUUUUGGUGGCGAGAAUGGUGGUGAUAGCGGUUGCAUGGGAGUUUAAUGGCUUAACAUGCAAUCACUUCAAAAGGUUACAUGUGGAUGUACGUUUAUGGCAGGUUUUAGGAUAGUCAGGUGAUAACAAUUAGAGCUUGAAGUUAAAAAGGGGUCACUUUCAUUAACACUUCAUGAUGUUUAUUUUGUUUUUACAACAUUUCGAAGUUAGAGAAAUUAUACGAACACUCCAUGAAUGUUUAAUUUUCUUCUACACAACAACAGAGUCGAAUCGUCACACCAAC
rnacentral:lncRNA from 1 species